rnacentral:rRNA from 1 species
UGGGGAAUAUUGUGCAAUGGGGGAAACCCUGACACAGCGACGCCGCGUGAGCGAAGAAGGCCUUCGGGUCGUAAAGCUCAAUAGUAUGGGAAGAAGGAAGUGACGGUACCAUACGAAAGCCCCGGCUAACUACGUGCCAGCAGCCGCGGUAAUACGUAGGGGGCGAGCGUUGUCCGGAAUUACUGGGCGUAAAGAGCACGUAGGCGGCUAUAAAAGUCAGAUGUGAAAAACCUGGGCUCAACCGAGGGUAUGCAUCUGAAACUAAAUAGCUUGAGUCAAGGAGAGGAGAGCGGAAUUCCUGGUGUAGCGGUGAAAUGCGUAGAGAUCAGGAAGAAUACCAGUGGCGAAAGCGGCUCUCUGGACUUGAACUGACGCUGAGGUGCGAAAGCGUGGGGAGCAAACAGGA